GCCUUCAACUUCUAUGCAGGCUGAGUCAUGGGUUAAUGACAUGAGUGGAUCAGCAGCGGAUGAUUCAACAGAAGUAGAAUUUGAGGGCCGGCCCUUGAGGCUAGGACUUGGGGCAAAAGCAGUACAUCAAUCGAAAACUAGAGCUUUAACUGAUCCUGUUGAAAGAAAAUUACGUGCCAAGUUGGACGCUGGAAAAAGAAAAGCUGCCCAAAGCAUAGAAGAAUCCAAUCCAUCUGAGCAAAAUGAUAAAGUUGGAGAGGAUGAUAGUGAAGAUGAGGAUUCAGAGAGCAGAACCAAUGCCUUUCCGAAGAAGAGAUCGAUCCUCCCUGCCUCUUUGCAUGGCAAAAAGGGACAUAAGUAACCGGCUGUUACUUCCUCAGAUGCUUUUCUUAGUUUUCCAUUAUGUUCUCUGGGUCUUGCUAUAAGUAAUGUUUUGCACAAUGGGGUGUUUCUUUUUGGUGUCUGUGGCUUAUCUUGCUAAGGGGAGCAUAUGAUGACGACUUGCAGAAGCUCUGGAAGAAGUUUGAAGGUCCUGGUUCUUUGUUCUUUCCAGUGUGCUUGGCUUGAGCUAACAUGGUUGUGAUGUCAACUAUGUGUUGAUGCCGACACUGAAUGUGCUUCCUUGUGCUUGACUUCAUUUAUAUACUAGCUUUGGUAAGUUCUAAUGGUAAUCCAUAAAAAUCUGGCAAGAUGAGGUGGCUCACUGCUUCAGUACUUUAGUCUGGUAAACUUUGGAUUAUGGAUACUUUGCACUGGACUAUUUGAAUGUGACAAUCUCUCUCUUCUUCGAAA